UGAGGAAUAUUGGUCAAUGGGCGCAAGCCUGAACCAGCCAUCCCGCGUGAAGGAAGAAGGCGCUAUGCGUUGUAAACUUCUUUUCCAGGGGGAGAACUUUUCCGUCGUGACGGGAAUUGACGGUAAUCUGGGAAUAAGCAUCGGCUAACUCCGUGCCAGCAGCCGCGGUAAUACGGAGGAUGCGAGCGUUAUCCGGAUUUAUUGGGGUUAAAGGGUGUGUAGGCGGAUAGAUAAGUCAGUGGUGAAAUUCUGCAGCUUAACUGUAGACUUGGGGUUGAGAAAGUGAGGAUUAAGGUUGGUCAAGGCGGGCGGAAUGUGUAAUGGUGAGGUGGAAUGCUUAGAGAUUACAGAGAACACCGAGUGGGGAAGGAGGUUGCUGGGGCA
rnacentral:rRNA from 1 species